rnacentral:snRNA from 1 species
AUACUUACCUGGCAGGGGAGAUACCAUGAUCACGAAGGUGGUUUUCCCAGGGUGAGGCCUAUCCAUUGCACUCCAGAUGUGCUGACCCCCGCGAUUUCCCCAAAUGUGGGAAACUCGACUGCAUAAUUUGUGGUAGUGGGGGACUGCAUUUGUGCUUUCCCCUG